rnacentral:misc_RNA from 1 species
AACGCACAUUGCGCCCGCUAGUAUUCUGGCGGGCAUGCCUGUUCGAGCGUCAUUUCAACCAUCAAGCGCCCGCGCUUGUGUUGGAGCCCUGCGGCUGCCGCAGGCUCCCAAAACCAGUGGCGGGCUCGUCGUCGUACCGAGUGCAGUAAACAUACCACGCUCAGGGCACGCGACGGGUGACCGGCCGUAAAACCCCCCACUUAUCAAGGUUGACCUCGGAUCAGGUAGGAAUACCCGCUGAACUUAA